GACGAAACCGGAAAUCACGCGAGGAGAGCGAGACAACUUUUAAAAUGUUGUUCCAGUAAAUGUGCAUGACAUUAUCAGCUCUGCAUGGACCGUCGGUAUGUAUUUCUUGAGGUAAUCCAGGUUCAGUUGGAACUUUGCAUGGUGAGGAAAGCACCAAUCCUGUGGAUACAGCCUACUCCAUUGACUUUAGAUUGAAUCAGGACAGGAAGUGCUGCUACAUUUAAAAGAUUUUUCGAAUUUACCCCGGGAUUACUCCGUUGGGUUGAACAAAUUGAUGCAGACCAAUGCAAUCCGAAGAAUUGGGAAAUUAAGCUAAACUGGUCCGAAAAUGUCUAAGCAACUUGCUUGUCAGAACUGUGACGUGAAGUUUAACACCAUUCGCAGCUUGAAGCUACAUGUCAGCGGAAUAAAACAUCGAAAGAAAGUGGCAGAGCUGUUCCAGUCAGAUGAGUACCAUGGCCGAGUCUACGUCCCAUUCAUCUUGGUUCUGGGACAUUUGACCAAACAACCCAUGAGCACCCCACAGCCUAUUGUUGGUCUGUGCCUGGUCACAAUUUGUUUGAGUUCAGAGAGGAGUGAUGCGUUCUACCUGUGUCAUGUGUGUGAGGAGAACUGUGGCCAAGGAAAUAUCAUAGACCAUCUGACUUCUGCCGACCAUCUCUCCAACUACUACGAUUUUGCGCCCAAACGGUUUGUGGAAAACAUUGAAAGCCGACUGCAGCGGCGAGCAUGUGUUCUUAACACGGUCAGGAACACCUCUGUUUAACAUGGCACUUGACUUGAUGUUUUUGAUUGUCACAACCGGGAUUCUCUAAGCCUGGAUACUGAGGCGCCCUGGUAGAUAAAUCACACCUAGUUGGAGAAAUACAUUAGGGCAUCUCUAAUUGUUUGUGCCUCUUAAGCCUAUUUAUGUGACCCUGUGUACAGCUCUUUUCUUCAGUCAGUUCCAUUAAAAGACAUCUUAGUCACAUUGCUUGACUGAGCUCUUUUUUUUCUAUAUUGUUAUCAUUCAGGAAGUUGAUUGCAUCUUCAUGAAUGAUAACUGGCAGUUCCCGUAG
ensembl:lncRNA